rnacentral:rRNA from 1 species
UAGAGGCGUGGCAGGGGUGGCCCUUGAUUUUUACCGCAAAAGCCGGGCCCCCUGAAUGGGGCCUCCAACCCUUAAAAUCCAUCUCACCCUUUUGUGCACCACCGCGUGGGCACCCUUCGGGAUCAAACCGAUCCAGGAAGGGGGCUUGCGUUUUCACACAAACCCCUUUUUAAAAGUGUAGAAUGACCCCAUUUUUUGCGAUAACACGCAAUCAAUACAACUUUCAACAACGGAUCUCUUGGCUCUCGCAUCGAUGAAGAACGCAGCGAAAUGCGAUACGUAAUGUGAAUUGCAGAAUUCAGUGAAUCAUCGAAUCUUUGAACGCACCUUGCGCCCCUUGGUAUUCCGAGGGGCACACCCGUUUGAGUGUCGUGAAAAUCUCAACCUUCUCGGUUUCUUCUGGAAACCAAAGGAGGCUUGGACUUUGGAGGCCUUUGCUGGCGUCUCUCUCUUUUGAGAGCCCAGCUCCUCUUAAAUGAAUUAGCGGGGUCCUCUUUGCUGGUCCUCGACAUGUGAUAAGAUGCUUCCAUGUCUUGGUUUCUGGCUCUGUUGCUUUUGGGACCCGCUUCUAACCGUCUCGACGAGACAACGUUUGAGCACGUCUCCCGACGCUCUCAACCUCACGAACCCUUGACCUCAAAUCGGGUGAGACUACCCGCUGAACUUAAGCAUAUCAUA